GACAGAGGGCUCAAACGUUGUUCGGAAUUACUGGGCAUAAAGCGCACGCAGGCGGCUUGCUAAGUCGGGUGUGAAAUCCCUUGGCUCAACCGAGGAACUGCAUUCGAUACUGGUAGGCUCGAGGACGGGAGGGGUAAGCGGAACUCCAGGUGGAACGGUGAAAUGUGUAGAUAUCUGGAGGAACACCGGUGGCGAAAGCGGCUUACUGGCCCGUAUCUGACGCUCAUGUGCGAAAGCUAGGGGAGCAAACGGG
rnacentral:rRNA from 1 species